rnacentral:rRNA from 1 species
CGUAGGGGGCAAGCGUUGUCCGGAUUUAUUGGGCGUAAAGCGCUCGCAGGUGGUUCGAUGCGUCGUGCGUGAAAGCCCCCGGCUCAACUGGGGAGUGUCGUGCGAUACGGUCGGACUGGAGGCCAGUAGGGGGAUGCGGAAUUCCGGGUGUAGUGGUGGAAUGCGUAGAGAUCCGGAGGAACACCAGCGGCGAAGGCGGCAUCCUGGACUGGUCCUGACACUCAUGAGCGAAAGCGUGGGGAGCGAUCCGGAUUAGAUACCCGGGUAGUCCACGCCGUAAACGAUGCGCACUAGGUGUCGGGGGUAUCGACCCCCUCGGUGCCGCAGCUAACGCGAUAAGUGCGCCGCCUGGGGACUACGGCCGCAAGGCUA